GCCACGUAAACCCACUACAAAAGCUUCCCAGCCUAGUUCGCCCCUCAGACUACUAUCCUCUUUUGGUAGUCCAGGCAGGUAGUGACGACAUUGAAGAGAGCACCCUGAAGGCUAUCAAACAAGACUUUAGGGGGCUGGGACGGUUAGUGGAUGGAGCGGGAGUAUAGGUGGUGUUUUCGUCCAUCCCUAUGGUGGCAGGGAGGGGUACAGAGAGGACACAGAAAGCCCACCUGUUAAACACGUGGCUCAGGGGCUGGUGCUAACGCAGAAAUCUUGGGUUUUUCAACCAUGGGGCACUUUACUCGGCACCCGGCCUGAUGGCCACAGACGGGUCCCUAUCUCUAAGGGGAAAAAGGAUCCUGGGCCAGGAGCUGGCAGGGCUCAUUGAGAGGACUUUAAACUAGGUAAGAAGGGGGAUGGGGCUGAAGCAAGGAUUGUUAGAUCUGUGCCGGGGGAAAAAUAGCAAGGCCGGGGGAUAAGGCAAUGGCCCAACAAAAGUGCAUCUACACCAAUGCACGCAGCAUGGGUAACAAACAGGAGGAGCUGGAAGCCAUCGUGCAGCAGGCAGGCUACGACUUGGUUGCCAUCACGGAGACGUGGUGGGACCAGUCUCAUGACUGGAGUGCUGCAAUGCCUGGCUAUAAGCUCUUCAGAAGGGACAGGCAGCACGGAAGGGGUGGUGGUGUGGCUCUCUAUAUUAGAGAGUCUUUCAAUGUUGUAGAACUCGAGGCUGGGAAUGACAAGGUCGAGUCCCUUUGGGUUAGGAUCGGUGGGGCCUACAAGGCUAGUGUCCUGGUGGGGGUCUGUUAUAGACCGCCGAACCAGGAUGAGGAGACGGAUGAGGAGUUCUACAGGCAACUGACAGAAGUUGCGAAAUCUUCAGCGCUUGUUCUCGUGGGGGACUUUAACUUCCCUGACAUAUCCAGGAAGCACAACACAGCCCAGAGAAAGCAGUCUAGGAGGUUUCUGGAGAGCGUGGAAGAUAGCUUCCUGAUGCAGCUGGUUAGUGAGCCUACCAGGGGAGGUGCCCUGCUAGACCUUCUCUUCACAAACAGAGGACAGGUGGGAGAUGUGGUGGUUGGAAACUGUCUUGGGCAGGGUGACCACGAAAUGGUAGAGUUCUCUAUUCUUGGCGAGGCCAGGAAGAGGACCAGUAAAACCGCUGUAUUGGACUUCCGGAGGGCUGACUUUGAGCUCCUCAGGACACUGGUUGGCAGACUCCCUUGGGAGGCGGUUCUGAAGGGCAGAGGAGUCCAGGAAGGCUGGGCGCUCUUCAAGAGGGAAAUCUUAAUGGCGCAGGAACAGUCUGUCCCCACGUGCCCAAAGGCGAGCUGGCGGGGAAGAAGACCAGCCUGGCUCAACAGAGAAUUGUGGCUUGAGCUUAGGAGAAAAAAGAGGGUUUAUAAUCUUUGGAAAAGUGGGCAGGCCACUAGGGAGGACUAUAAGGAUGUUGCGAGGCUGUGCAGGGACAAAAUUAGGAAGGCCAAAGCUCAUCUGGAGCUCAAUCUGGCUACUGCCGUUGAAGAUAACAAAAAAUGUUUUUAUAAAUACAUCAACACAAAAAGGAGGACUAAAGAGAAUCUCCAGCCUUUACUGGAUGCGGGGGGAAACUUAGUUACAAGAGAUGAGGAAAAGGCGGAGGUGCUUAAUGCCUUCUUUGCCUCAGUCUUUAGCGGCAGUACUGGUUGUUCUCUGGAUACCCAGUACCCUGAGCUGGUGGAAGGGGAUGGGGAGCAGGAUGUGGCCCUCACUAUCCGCGAAGAACUGUUUGGUGACCUGGUACGGCACUUGGAUGUGCACACGUCGAUGGGGCCAGAUGGGAUCCACCCAAGGGUACUGAGAGAACUGGCAGAGGAGCUGGCCAAGCCACUAUCCAUCAUUUAUCAACAGUCCUGGCUAUCGGAGGAGGUCCCAGUUGACUGGCAGCUAGCAAACGUGACGCCCAUCUACAAGAAGGGCCCGAGGACUGACCCGGGAAACUAUAGGCCUGUCAGUUUGACCUCAGUGCCAGGGAAACUCAUGGAGCAGAUCCUCUUGAGAGUCAUCACGCAGCACUUGCAGGGCAAGCAGGCGAUCAGGCCCAGUCAGCAUGGAUUUAUGAAAGGCAGGUCCUGCUUGACG
rnacentral:lncRNA from 1 species